rnacentral:lncRNA from 1 species
CGGCGAAUGUGAUAUACAGCAACUACGAGGAUUGCGCCGUAGUGGACUUCCCGUUCAAGAUGAGACAAAGCUGUGGUCUAUGGGUCACCAAAGAUGUGUUGCACAGUUUUCCGCAGGAAUGCAUUGACCAGUUCGAGGACAACUGCGACAAGGCGGUCGCGGUGUUCGACGAUGAAACUUGCAAGAGUGUGUUCGACAAUAUCUAGUGCACUUUUCAAGUGCGUGUAUUUUCACGAGUGUUCGGUCAUUAGUACCGAAUAAUAAAUUGCUCCAU